UGCUGCUGUUGCUGGUUUUCUGUUGAUUGUAACUGGAGUCGGGAUCUUCUUCAUCUGCAGGAAACACAGAAAAACAGACCAAGAAGUUAAGACCCAUGACAGUGAGAUCACUUACGCUGAAUAUACUGCACUUUCUUCACAUAGUAAUGUACAUUUAACAGUAAAACAGAUGUUUGAGCUUUAGGAUGAAGUAAAGUUGAUUAAAUCUUGAUGCAUGUUUGUAUUUGUCAGCUGUUGUUUGUUGUUUAUGAAGAUUUGUAACAGAUACAAAAUAAUUUAAGAUACAAUAUCAUUGUUUUUAGUUAAUUUCUCAUUUAUGUCAGACACUGAUAUUAAUCUUUCAUCAUUAAAAUGUUACUUUAACAAUUCAAAUGUAUCAGAACUAAACAUAUUUAAAGAGAAAAAAUAUUUUACUUAAUUCACAAGAUCCAGGCUUUAAAGCUCCUUUGACAAAUUAAAAUAGUCUACCAGUAAAGUUUUUGAACAGGAAGAUUUUUUAUGUUUUUGAAAUAAUUUUCUUCUGCUCACCAAGCCAUUACAAGUUUUGAUAUUUAAAGUUUCUGAGAGUUUAUGAACAUUAAUGUGAUAAUAAAAACAAGGUCAAAAGGUCAAAAUUAUAACAUUAUGCAUUAUAAAUUAUAAUAAAAGGCUUUCGAGCAGU